rnacentral:rRNA from 1 species
GUGGCGGACGGGUGAGUAACGCGUGAGAAUCUAGCUUCAGGUCGGGGACCACAGUUGGAAACGACUGCUAAUACCGGAUAUGCCGAAAGGUGAAAGGCUUGCUGCCUGAAGAUGAGCUCGCGUCUGAUUAGCUAGUUGGUGGGGUAAGAGCCUACCAGGGCGACKAUCAGUAGCUGGUCUGAGAGGAUGAUCAGCCACWCUGGGACUGAGACGCGGCCCAGACUCCUACGGGAGGCAGCAGUGGGGAAUUUUCCACAAUGGGCGAAAGCCUGACGGAGCAAUACCGCGUGAGGGAGGAAGGCUCUUGGGUCGUAAACCUCUUUUCUCAGGGAAGAAAAAAAUGACGGUACCUGAGGAAUAAGCAUCGGCUAACUCCGUGCCAGCAGCCGCGGUAAUACGGAGGAUGCAAGCGUUAUCCGGAAUGAUUGGGCGUAAAGGGUCCGCAGGUUGCAAUGUAAGUCUGCUGUUAAAGAAUGAGGCUCAACCUCAUAAGAGCAGUGGAAACUACAUAGCUAGAGUACGUUCGGGGCAGAGGGAAUUCCUGGUGUAGCGGUGAAAUGCGUAGAUAUCAGGAAGAACACCGGUGGCGAAAGCGCUCUGCUAGGCCGUAACUGACACUGAGGGACGAAAGCUAGGGGAGCGAAUGGGAUUAGAUACCCCAGUAGUCCUAGCCGUAAACGAUGGAUACUAGGCGUGGCUUGUAUCGACCCGAGCCGUGCCGUAGCUAACGCGUUAAGUAUCCCGCCUGGGGAGUACGCACGCAAGUGUGAAACUCAAAGGAAUUGACGGGGGCCCGCACAAGCGGUGGAGUAUGUGGUUUAAUUCGAUGCAACGCGAAGAACCUUACCAAGGCUUGACAUGUCGCGAAUCUUUCUGAAAGGAGAGAGUGCCUUCGGGAGCGCGAACACAGGUGGUGCAUGGCUGUCGUCAGCUCGUGUCGUGAGAUGUUGGGUUAAGUCCCGCAACGAGCGCAACCCUCGUUUUUAGUUGCCAGCAUUAAGUUGGGCACUCUAGAGAGACUGCCGGUGACAAACCGGAGGAAGGUGAGGAUGACGUCAAGUCAGCAUGCCCCUUACGCCUUGGGCUACACACGUACUACAAUGCUACGGACAAAGGGCAGCUACACAGCGAUGUGAUGCUAAUCUCAUAAACCGUAGCUCAGUUCAGAUCGCAGGCUGCAACUCGCCUGCGUGAAGGAGGAAUCGCUAGUAAUUGCAGGUCAGCAUACUGCAGUGAAUUCGUUCCCGGGCCUUGUACACACCGCCCGUCACACCAUGGAAGUUGGUCACGCCCGAAGUCGUUACCCCAACCGCAAGGAGGGGGAUGCCUAAGGUAGGACUGGUGACUGGGGUGAAGUCGUAACAAGGUAGCCGU